rnacentral:lncRNA from 1 species
AACGCUGUAAGCACAGGGAACACCCCCUGCGUCCAGCGCGAACUUGCCGAUCUCCCUAGCCCGAUGCCGAGGUCCGGUGACGCGCGUCACGGACAAGCUCCAUCGUCAUCUCUGACCGACAGUGAAACUCUCUCUCUCUCUCUCUUUCUCGGUUCUCUCUUUCCUGGAUGCUUAGUGGGGGCGCUUGGCUUUGCCCGAGGUGGCCGACGGGCACCGAGUGGAUGGGGUGGCUGCGGUGCCCUCCACCCCCCUUUAUAUUGCUGAAGCCUCGGACUUCAGCCAGAGGGAAUCGAGUCCAGAGAUGCGCGAGCAACGCGCGUCAUCUGUUGAGAAUGGCCAGGGGGAAGACGACGGGUUCUGUUGAAGGAGUCCGGUUAACAGGGCGGGCCCGCAGUCCAGUGAUCAGAAGGGAGUGCUCUGCGUACGCGUGAGUGGAGGUCACGCAGACAGGUUGGUCCCACCUGUCACCCAGCAAUCGUGACGCGGGGGACAACUGGGCUGACCAAGCGCGGGUUGGGCUGCGCAACGUGGAGCUGGGCCGACGUGAAAGGGAAUUGGUGGGCCGCGCGAGUUGAGAGAAUUUGGGUCAGCUGAGGAUUCAUGCCCAAUACGGGUACAUUCUCAUUUCUUUUUUUAUUUUCCUCUUUUGGUUUUCAUUUUCAAAUUUCAAGUUUGAAUUCAAUUUUGAUUCAUCUUUCUGUUUCAAAUUUGAAACAGAUUCCAACCCUAGUGUGUCAUAUAAAUCCUACUAUUUUCGGUAUUAUUACUUAUUUAUCAUAUCUCUUUAAGUUUAGAGGCAUAAUAUAUAAUUCAAUAGGAAUGCUUGUUGUCAGAGAGGGAAUUCUCCGGCCGGGUGGCGGAGUGCACCCGCCCUUAAUCCUAAGAUAAGGAAGGGGCUUAAGCGUUUUGCCUGUCCGGCUAAGCGAUUACCGAGCACAUGAACACGCGAGAGUUUAGAGUGGUUUGGGCCACCGAAGCGUAAUACCCUACUCCACUGUGUGUUGGAUUGUUGUGGAAGCUUGAGAGUUCAGAAUCUAAGUUGGGUCUCAGUCUGUGUCUAAAACCUUGUGUUGUAACGUUGCAUGCCUCCCCUUUUAUAGCUAAGGGGGGCAUGCACAAAGGUACUGAGCCCCGACAUGUGGGCCCAGGAUCAUAACAGAUGUAGCACUUGGAGCUACAAAUGUUCGCCGCUAGAGCAAUCUUCUUGCGCCUUGACAUCCGAGAUCUGUGUAGUAUCGGCGUGCAGAGGAAGCUUCUCGUAUAAGGGAUGAUGAGCACAGUGCGCCGAGCGGCACGGGCGCACUGUUUGAUAAUGGACUGGACAGGUGCGCCAUCUGCAGGAUGGCCCUGGCGCCGCCUGCCAGUGGAGUGGACAGGACACAUUAAAUGCUGAGGGGGCACAUUGCCUGUCAGCAAGGUGGGUAGGCAGCGCGUCCUCUCCGCAAUAAAUGCAGAGACCACACGGCUUUAGAGGCCUUACGUUAGGCUCCGCUCGCUGGCUUAUGUCACGGGCUACAAGCCACGCGACAGCAGUGGGUCUCCGCCUGAGCGGGGAGCGCAAGCGCACAUGAUAAGGCCUGGACACGUGUCAGCACCGGACCCUUGCUUACGCCAGGGUAUCCCCUGUCCUGGGACCUUGUUGCGGUCCGGACCUUACUGGAAGGGAUCUGGGCCCCAUCCAAGGGACCCGGCAUGCUUGUUUGGGAGUCCCGGGCCAUAAUUGGGGGUCCGGGUUGUGCGUACAGGGGUCCGGUGCUCCUUCGAGGAGGUCCGAUCCAAAUGAUACAUUCUGGGAUGCAUCAUCUUUUCUCGCCACGUGGUGCCCCUUGAGCCGCCCACGUGGCGGGGUUGGGUGAUGUUCACCGUGUGGCUAGGGGACAUCGUACGAGCACCGCGUCUUCAUACUGUAGUAGGGGUACCCCUGAUUCAGGGUACCGACACUUGUGUUCCAAACAAACAAAAUCCAUAUAUAGAUAUAUUUAUUUAUUUUAUUAGAAUUCCAGUCUAAUUAUUCAAACAUAUAUAUAUGAACAAUUUAAUAUUGUCAUUUAUGUGUUCCAAGAAAGUAUUUUCAUGGAUAUGAAGAUCUUUAUCAAGGACAUCUUUUGGAGAACCUCUUUCAAAUUUCAAAAUAGGUAUUUUGGGUGUUACAAAUCCUACCCUCUUAAUAGAAAUCUCGUCCUCGAGAUUUGUAAGAAAAGGGUAUAUAACCAUUUUAUCUCAGAACAUAUGCACAAACAAAAUCUCAGCAUGAUGCAUAAUUUAUUAGCAACAUAUGAGGUCAAAUAGACCUUAUUAUUCCUCCUAAAAUAGUAUCAUACCAUGUACUAACUAAAGUAACAUUUAGAUCUUACAAAUAGUAGUAUAUAUAUAUUUAUGUAGCUUGGUGGAGCUGGUGGUGGUGGUGGAGGUAGUGGAAGAUUGGGAGAGCAUAGGUAUCCGGCUACUAUUUAUGUGGGAUAUUAACUGAACAGGUUGAGGUAAGAAAGAUUAUGGCAAGGAAAAGACUUUAUCCAAAAUGUUUUUAAGUCCUGAUUCAUCUCGAGGUUCGCUUUGACUAUUAUAUCCUUCCUUGUUGAAGUUGAUCUUUUCUUCUCCGGUCUUGAUCUCAUUGAUUCGAGGUUAGUGUAUAUUAUCGGGGUUGGGAAAUAUGGUUAAGAUAGAUAAUGAGGUAAACCACAUGAUGUAGAUCAAAAAUUUGUUUGAUGUUAGGUGAGGAUAGAUUGAUUAUACCAUUCAUCAUGACUCUAUGGUUAGCUCUUCUGCUCAUGGUUGAGUUGGUCUACACCUGGCUAUUAGGGUAUAAUCUCUUCUACCAAUAUCACUGAUAUGUCCAAGUGGAUCACAUUAGAUUAGAUCACAUUAGAUUCUAUAAUCCUAUUUAGGAAUAUCCUUUAGUUAAGCAUAACUGACUUUAUCUUUAUGAAAUUCUAUAUUUUUUAUACACCUGAAAUUCUUUUUAAGCCAUUAGCAGGUGUGGUAUAGAAGCAAGGGUACAUCAUGCUUUAUCUAUUUGUGGGUGUAGAGAAGAUUUGGGGUAAAAGAUAGUUAAGUAAGGGAAAGAUUUUUUUUAAUCUGGGUGGUGGAUCUUGAUUCAUCCGAAGAUCUGUUUCUACUCAUAUCUUCAUUGUUGAAGUUAACCUUCUUGAUUUAGGGACCAUCGGUCGGGGUGUUAAAUGCCAUUAUCCAAGUCAGGAUAACAAUUGCGGAUACAUGGGGUAGGUAGAUUAAACAGAGUUUUACUUUGCCUUUGAGAUAAAUGAGUUGGGCAACCUAUAACAUAGGCUAGGUCGUGGUUUCACUGACGAGUUGGUAUAAGACACCAAUUUUAGGUUUAAAACCCAUUUAUAAGAAUAUGGUUUAGUUAAUACUUGUAACAUAGAUUAGACCAUAUUAGUUUAGGUAGGGUCUAGAUUAGAUUGGAUAUAACUAGAUUAGACUAGUUUGAGUUAGAUAAAUAUACCAGCGUAGGAUAACAUAUUAUUAGGAUAUGUUAGAAUCUUUUAAGAUAGAAUGAAUUAAUUAUAUGGUGUAGGUAGAUCAGAAUCUUUGUCAGGUUAAAACAGAGGGGUUAUGCAACUAUCGAGUGGUUAAGGUAGUUGCAUAUGGCCAGGUUGUUGUAUGUGGUCUAGUUAAUCUAGGGCACCAAUUUAGGUUAAAACAUGCUUAUAGAAGUAGGGUCCAAUCUAUUUUCCUAGUAUUAUCUAUCAUGUUUGUCCAUUAGAUUAGAUUUGACCAGAUUAGAUGGGAUCAGAAUUAAAUUGGUGUAAUUAGAUUAGACUAGAUAAAAUCUACUUAAUUUAUCUUGGAAUAGAUCAUGUUUGUUACAAGGUUAUGAGAUAAGCCAAGUGGUGGGAAUAAACAUGCUUAUUAGGACAAGAUGAGUCUCUAAGAAUAAGAUAGAAUCUUUUGAGAUUAGUUAGAUCUAUUAGGAUAAAAUCUUUUCGGGUUAAGAUGGAUCUAUUAAGAUAAGAGAGAAUCUUGUAAGAUAAGAUGGUUCUAUUAAGAUAAGAAAGAAUCGUUUAAGAUAAGAGAGAAUCUUUUAAGAUAAGAGAAACCUAUAUAUAAUAGAAAUAUUUUAAUGGAGGAUAAUCUAAGUUGUUUAGUUAUCUCAUUAAUUUUAUUUAUUUAUCUAUACAUAUAUGUAGAUGUAAUUAUGGACAUUACUCCACGACUCAUCACACUCAAUCAAAGAUCCAAAUCAAACAAGUAUCAUAAGAACAAACACUCAAGCGUAUAGAUAACUAUAAAAAUAGUUUUGUUUUUGUUCCUAAGAGUAGGUUUCUUAUUCCUAAAGGUCACUUUAGGCACGAUUUUCAAAGUGUGAAAUCCACAUUUGUCUUUAGAAAGGAAAGGUAAGAAUAAUCAGAGUAAAGCGGAAAUAGAGAGAAAAGAUUAUGAUAAGUUCAGAAAAGAAUCAGAGUAGCAGAGGUAAGUAGGUAAAGGUUUGUCCAUUUCUAUCUAAGUUUCUUCCUACAGUCAACAUUCCUCUGAUACCACUUCUGUCACCCGGUUUUAAGGGACAAAGCCGGGUGCAUCUCAUACAUGCGCCAAAGAAGACAACAUAUAUAAUAACAGAGUGUAUAGAGAUAAAUGUCACAAUAAUCAGAGUAUUUAUUACAUAGCGGAAGUCUUACAAAAUAAAUUAUAAACAUAAAAGGAUCUAAAAUCCAUCCUUAGCACCAGAAAGUCAACUGGGAGACGCCACCUAGAUCGAAUCGAACUCCUCGUUGUCUGGCUCCUCUUGAACCACCUGUUCUUCUCCUGUGGGGGGUGUGAGACAACAAGGGUGAGCUCACACAUGUUCAUCGCUCAACAAGUUGUGGGGAAUAAUGUGGCAUGAACUCACCAAAGGUGGGAGUUCAUGUAAUGUGUAAGGCUGAUCAACAAUAGGGGUUAAAGUUGAGCAUUGCUUUUAAUAAGUUGGUCAAAUUUUAUUAGCAAUUACUAAGUAAAAGUAAAUACCAAACCAUAAUAAAUAAUAGAACAAAAUUAAUAACAAAAUCCCAUGCAAUGCAAAUGACAAAUUGAGUUUAAGUUCCAUAAAUUAAUCAUGCGAGAGUCCUGAGCUGCUCAUGACCGUGAGGUCGGCUAGUAUACUAGUUUUACACUCUGCAGAGGUUGUACCCUAUACCCAUAAGUCGUGUAUUCCAUGUCGCCAGGGUUUGCAAGGCCCUUAGACACUACCGAGGUGAAUGGCUGGGGAUCCACUACGAGGCCUUUAGAAAGUUCCACUAGCUUCCGAAAACCCGCUACAGUUAUGGUAAGAGCACUUGCAAGAAUCCCCCGUCUGACCGCCAUUGCAGCAAAAUUAACCCGAGAACCUCCUUGCAUGCAACUCCCCUACUGCCCUUGCCCCUUUCGGGUAAGGUAGUCUUCCACUAGCUUUCCUAAUUAGUUAGCCAAGGGCAUCCCAUUCCACCCUUGUGGUGGCACGUGUUUCUCAAGUUAAGCUCCAUGUUCCAAUUAACAUUAAAGAUCUUGACAUGAACAUAAAUAGAAUAACAAAAUAAUUGGAACAUGGAUAUAAUGAAAUACUAACCCAAAACCGUAUAAAGCAAUAGCAAAACUAUCCAAGUGAUUCAGGGGGUAACAAGGUAAAAGAUAAUCAGACUAGGGUGACCUAUUGGUUCCCAUCAAAAUUAAACAUAUGCAUUGAAUAGUGAUAAUAAAGAAUAUUAUUGGGAAACAAAAGUGGAUCAAGGGCACAACUUGCCUAGCACUUGAGAUUCCAGUUACCAGGGUGAUUCUUCAGAUCCACGUGAUCUCACCGCUAGUCGUAGCAAUACAAACAGACAUGGUAUAGAUAAAAUUAACAUCACACCAAACAUAAGUACAAACUGAAUAAUAAUGAUCUACACGAAGCUACGAGAUCGCGGGGUCGAGAACUAUUAAAAUCUGAGUUACGGUUAAGGAGUUAUGAUUUUAUAAAAUAUCUGUGUGAUUAAAAUAUUAAACUAUAUUAUAACUUGGUUAAUAUAAAUUAUAUGAGAGGUUAUUCUCUAAAUAACGUCAUUAUUUGAUUAAAGAUCAUCUAGUCAAGUUAUAAUCCUAAGAUCAGAAUAUUAUAUUAAUAUUAAAGAUGUUAAUCCAAUAGACAUAGAUUAAUCCAAUUAGUUACCUAAUUAUAAAAGUAGGGUAUAUCAUAUAACAAAUGUUGCUACUAGGUAGUAAAUAUUUAUACGAAGCUAACGCAACUAGAACGAGUCAAUUUGGAAUUAAAACGAAAGAGUUAUGAAUUUGUGAAGGUCUUAUGUAUUUGAUACAAGAUUAAUUAAGGUAUAAAUUUUAAUGUGGCUUUCAUGUCAAAACAGAGAUACUAAAUGAUAAACAACAAUUUUAUAAAAUUAUAGAAAUUGGAAUGGAUUAAUUUGGAGCUAAAAUGAAUUUAAUAUGAAUUAUAUAAGUUCUUUGGAAUUAUUUUGGUAUUAAAAUUCAAUUUCUUUAACUAUUUAUCUAAAUAAUCAAUUCUCUGGAUUGGGCGCACUAUUAUUAGAAAGUGUAGGGGUCUCAGUAUAAGUCUUCCCAAGACCCUGAACGACUGGCGCCAGGACCGUGAGUUGAAUACCUAAAAGCAUAGGGUCUCUUUAGUGAAAUGGCAUGGCGAAGAGAUAUGAUGGAUUCUGAGUCAUCCGAUCCAGACCCAAGGGCCCAGAUUAGACCUAGGCUAUUACGAAUCGGUGCAUAACGGGGCCACACGAUUCAAAUCUACGGUCAGGAUUUAAUGACUCGCAGAUCUAAUCUCCGCCACUUAUUGCUCAUCCUACGUUCCAGAUGAGAUCCCUAUGAAUCGAUAUGCAAGAAUUCAUUCCGGUCGUCAGUCACAGGAUCAAUGGACCUACUAGUGUCUUCUUCCUCGCGACUCCUAGGCACCGACGUCUGCGCGCCAUGACGGUGGACCUGCCCUGCACUGCCGCCGUAUAAGCUAAAACAUCAGAGGGGUGGUAACGGCGAGAAAAUAAUGGAGGCAUACCGUGGCUCGGCCUAGGGACGAGCAGCGCCGCACUACGGCAGCCCCACUCGGUCUUCUUCACGCGGUGAUAAUGCGGUGCCCUCCCAACACCGUAAGCACAGGGAACACCCCCGGCGUCCAGCGUGAACUUGCCGAUCUCCCUAGCCCGAUGCCGAGGUCCGGUGACGCGCGUCACGGACAAGCUCCAUCGUCAUCUCUGACCGACAGCGAAACUCUCUCUCUCUCUCGGUUCUCUCUUUCUUGGAUGCUUGGUGGGGGCUCUUGGCUUCGCCCGAGGUGACCGACGGGCACCGAGUGGAUGGGGUGGCCGCGUAUCAAGGACAUCUUUUGGGGAACCUCUUUCAAAUUUCAAAAUAGGUAUUUUGGGUGUUACAAAUCCUACCCUCUUAAUAGAAAUCUCGUCCUCGAGAUUUGUAAGAAAAGGGUAUAUAACCAUUUUAUCUCAGAACAUAUGCACAAACAAAAUCUCAGCAUGAUGCAUAAUUUAUUAGCAACAUAUGGGGUCAAAUAGACCUUAUUAUUCCUUCUAAAAUAGUAUCAUACCAUGUACUAACUAAAGUAACAUUUAGAUCUUACAAAUAGUAGUAUAUAUAUAUUUAUGUAGCUUGGUGGAGCUGGUGGUGGUGGUGGAGGUAGUGGAAGAUUGGGAGAGCAUAGGUAUCCGGCUACUAUUUAUGUGGGAUAUUAACUGAACAGGUUGAGGUAAGAAAGAUUAUGGCAAGGAAAAGACUUUAUCCAAAAUGUUUUUAAGUCCUGAUUCAUCUCGAGGUUCGCUUUGACUAUUAUAUCCUUCCUUGUUGAAGUUGAUCUUUUCUUCUCCGGUCUUGAUCUCAUUGAUUCGAGGUUAGUGUAUAUUAUCGGGGUUGGGAAAUAUGGUUAAGAUAGAUAAUGAGGUAAACCACAUGAUGUAGAUCAAAAAUUUGUUUGAUGUUAGGUGAGGAUAGAUUGAUUAUACCAUUCAUCAUGACUCUAUGGUUAGCUCUUCUGCUCAUGGUUGAGUUGGUCUACACCUGGCUAUUAGGGUAUAAUCUCUUCUACCAAUAUCACUGAUAUGUCCAAGUGGAUCACAUUAGAUUAGAUCACAUUAGAUUCUAUAAUCCUAUUUAGGAAUAUCCUUUAGUUAAGCAUAACUGACUUUAUCUUUAUGAAAUUCUAUAUUUUUUAUACACCUGAAAUUCUUUUUAAGCCAUUAGCAGGUGUGGUAUAGAAGCAAGGGUACAUCAUGCUUUAUCUAUUUGUGGGUGUAGAGAAGAUUUGGGGUAAAAGAUAGUUAAGUAAGGGAAAGAUUUUUUUUAAUCUGGGUGGUGGAUCUUGAUUCAUCCGAAGAUCUGUUUCUACUCAUAUCUUCAUUGUUGAAGUUAACCUUCUUGAUUUAGGGACCAUCGGUCGGGGUGUUAAAUGCCAUUAUCCAAGUCAGGAUAACAAUUGCGGAUACAUGGGGUAGGUAGAUUAAACAGAGUUUUACUUUGCCUUUGAGAUAAAUGAGUUGGGCAACCUAUAACAUAGGCUAGGUCGUGGUUUCACUGACGAGUUGGUAUAAGACACCAAUUUUAGGUUUAAAACCCAUUUAUAAGAAUAUGGUUUAGUUAAUACUUGUAACAUAGAUUAGACCAUAUUAGUUUAGGUAGGGUCUAGAUUAGAUUGGAUAUAACUAGAUUAGACUAGUUUGAGUUAGAUAAAUAUACCAGCGUAGGAUAACAUAUUAUUAGGAUAUGUUAGAAUCUUUUAAGAUAGAAUGAAUUAAUUAUAUGGUGUAGGUAGAUCAGAAUCUUUGUCAGGUUAAAACAGAGGGGUUAUGCAACUAUCGAGUGGUUAAGGUAGUUGCAUAUGGCCAGGUUGUUGUAUGUGGUCUAGUUAAUCUAGGGCACCAAUUUAGGUUAAAACAUGCUUAUAGAAGUAGGGUCCAAUCUAUUUUCCUAGUAUUAUCUAUCAUGUUUGUCCAUUAGAUUAGAUUUGACCAGAUUAGAUGGGAUCAGAAUUAAAUUGGUGUAAUUAGAUUAGACUAGAUAAAAUCUACUUAAUUUAUCUUGGAAUAGAUCAUGUUUGUUACAAGGUUAUGAGAUAAGCCAAGUGGUGGGAAUAAACAUGCUUAUUAGGACAAGAUGAGUCUCUAAGAAUAAGAUAGAAUCUUUUGAGAUUAGUUAGAUCUAUUAGGAUAAAAUCUUUUCGGGUUAAGAUGGAUCUAUUAAGAUAAGAGAGAAUCUUGUAAGAUAAGAUGGUUCUAUUAAGAUAAGAAAGAAUCGUUUAAGAUAAGAGAGAAUCUUUUAAGAUAAGAGAAACCUAUAUAUAAUAGAAAUAUUUUAAUGGAGGAUAAUCUAAGUUGUUUAGUUAUCUCAUUAAUUUUAUUUAUUUAUCUAUACAUAUAUGUAGAUGUAAUUAUGGACAUUACUCCACGACUCAUCACACUCAAUCAAAGAUCCAAAUCAAACAAGUAUCAUAAGAACAAACACUCAAGCGUAUAGAUAACUAUAAAAAUAGUUUUGUUUUUGUUCCUAAGAGUAGGUUUCUUAUUCCUAAAGGUCACUUUAGGCACGAUUUUCAAAGUGUGAAAUCCACAUUUGUCUUUAGAAAGGAAAGGUAAGAAUAAUCAGAGUAAAGCGGAAAUAGAGAGAAAAGAUUAUGAUAAGUUCAGAAAAGAAUCAGAGUAGCAGAGGUAAGUAGGUAAAGGUUUGUCCAUUUCUAUCUAAGUUUCUUCCUACAGUCAACAUUCCUCUGAUACCACUUCUGUCACCCGGUUUUAAGGGACAAAGCCGGGUGCAUCUCAUACAUGCGCCAAAGAAGACAACAUAUAUAAUAACAGAGUGUAUAGAGAUAAAUGUCACAAUAAUCAGAGUAUUUAUUACAUAGCGGAAGUCUUACAAAAUAAAUUAUAAAUAUAAAAGGAUCUAAAAUCCAUCCUUAGCACCAGAAAGUCAACUGGGAGACGCCACCUAGAUCGAAUCGAACUCCUCGUUGUCUGGCUCCUCUUGAACCACCUGUUCUUCUCCUGUGGGGGGUGUGAGACAACAAGGGUGAGCUCACACAUGUUCAUCGCUCAACAAGUUGUGGGGAAUAAUGUGGCAUGAACUCACCAAAGGUGGGAGUUCAUGUAAUGUGUAAGGCUGAUCAACAAUAGGGGUUAAAGUUGAGCAUUGCUUUUAAUAAGUUGGUCAAAUUCUAUUAGCAAUUACUAAGUAAAAGUAAAUACCAAACCAUAAUAAAUAAUAGAACAAAAUUAAUAACAAAAUCCCAUGCAAUGCAAAUGACAAAUUGAGUUUAAGUUCCAUAAAUUAAUCAUGCGAGAGUCCUGAGCUGCUCAUGACCGUGAGGUCGGCUAGUAUACUAGUUUUACACUCUGCAGAGGUUGUACCCUAUACCCAUAAGUCGUGUAUUCCAUGUCGCCAGGGUUUGCAAGGCCCUUAGACACUACCGAGGUGAAUGGCUGGGGAUCCACUACGAGGCCUUUAGAAAGUUCCACUAGCUUCCGAAAACCCGCUACAGUUAUGGUAAGAGCACUUGCAAGAAUCCCCCGUCUGACCGCCAUUGCAGCAAAAUUAACCCGAGAACCUCCUUGCAUGCAACUCCCCUACUGCCCUUGCCCCUUUCGGGUAAGGUAGUCUUCCACUAGCUUUCCUAAUUAGUUAGCCAAGGGCAUCCCAUUCCACCCUUGUGGUGGCACGUGUUUCUCAAGUUAAGCUCCAUGUUCCAAUUAACAUUAAAGAUCUUGACAUGAACAUAAAUAGAAUAACAAAAUAAUUGGAACAUGGAUAUAAUGAAAUACUAACCCAAAACCGUAUAAAGCAAUAGCAAAACUAUCCAAGUGAUUCAGGGGGUAACAAGGUAAAAGAUAAUCAGACUAGGGUGACCUAUUGGUUCCCAUCAAAAUUAAACAUAUGCAUUGAAUAGUGAUAAUAAAGAAUAUUAUUGGGAAACAAAAGUGGAUCAAGGGCACAACUUGCCUAGCACUUGAGAUUCCAGUUACCAGGGUGAUUCUUCAGAUCCACGUGAUCUCACCGCUAGUCGUAGCAAUACAAACAGACAUGGUAUAGAUAAAAUUAACAUCACACCAAACAUAAGUACAAACUGAAUAAUAAUGAUCUACACGAAGCUACGAGAUCGCGGGGUCGAGAACUAUUAAAAUCUGAGUUACGGUUAAGGAGUUAUGAUUUUAUAAAAUAUCUGUGUGAUUAAAAUAUUAAACUAUAUUAUAACUUGGUUAAUAUAAAUUAUAUGAGAGGUUAUUCUCUAAAUAACGUCAUUAUUUGAUUAAAGAUCAUCUAGUCAAGUUAUAAUCCUAAGAUCAGAAUAUUAUAUUAAUAUUAAAGAUGUUAAUCCAAUAGACAUAGAUUAAUCCAAUUAGUUACCUAAUUAUAAAAGUAGGGUAUAUCAUAUAACAAAUGUUGCUACUAGGUAGUAAAUAUUUAUACGAAGCUAACGCAACUAGAACGAGUCAAUUUGGAAUUAAAACGAAAGAGUUAUGAAUUUGUGAAGGUCUUAUGUAUUUGAUACAAGAUUAAUUAAGGUAUAAAUUUUAAUGUGACUUUCAUGUCAAAACAGAGAUACUAAAUGAUAAACAACAAUUUUAUAAAAUUAUAGAAAUUGGAAUGGAUUAAUUUGGAGCUAAAAUGAAUUUAAUAUGAAUUAUAUAAGUUCUUUGGAAUUAUUUUGGUAUUAAAAUUCAAUUUCUUUAACUAUUUAUCUAAAUAAUCAAUUCUCUGGAUUGGGCGCACUAUUAUUAGAAAGUGUAGGGGUCUCAGUAUAAGUCUUCCCAAGACCCUGAACGACUGGCGCCAGGACCGUGAGUUGAAUACCUAAAAGCAUAGGGUCUCUUUAGUGAAAUGGCAUGGCGAAGAGAUAUGAUGGAUUCUGAGUCAUCCGAUCCAGACCCAAGGGCCCAGAUUAGACCUAGGCUAUUACGAAUCGGUGCAUAACGGGGCCACACGAUUCAAAUCUACGGUCAGGAUUUAAUGACUCGCAGAUCUAAUCUCCGCCACUUAUUGCUCAUCCUACGUUCCAGAUGAGAUCCCUAUGAAUCGAUAUGCAAGAAUUCAUCCCGGUCGUCAGUCACAGGAUCAAUGGACCUACUAGUGUCUUCUUCCUCGCGACUCCUAGGCACCGACGUCUGCGCGCCAUGACGGUGGACCUGCCCUGCACUGCCGCCGUAUAAGCUAAAACAUCAGAGGGGUGGUAACGGCGAGAAAAUAAUGGAGGCAUACCGUGGCUCGGCCUAGGGACGAGCAGCGCCGCACUACGGCAGCCCCACUCGGUCUUCUUCACGCGGUGAUAAUGCGGUGCCCUCCCAACACCGUAAGCACAGGGAACACCCCCGGCGUCCAGCGCGAACUUGCCGAUCUCCCUAGCCCGAUGCCGAGGUCCGGUGACGCGCGUCACGGACAAGCUCCAUCGUCAUCUCUGACCGACAGCGAAACUCUCUCUCUCUCUCUCGGUUCUCUCUUUCUUGGAUGCUUGGUGGGGGCUCUUGGCUUCGCCCGAGGUGACCGACGGGCACCGAGUGGAUGGGGUGGCCGCGGU